CAGCAUCAGCUUCCCCCACAGGCGACGACGACGAGCGAGAGCGACGGCCGUGCCCCUCGCGACGAGCUGGAGAUGAGCAAGUCCGGUGGCAGCGACAACCUGGAGAGCGGCGGUGGCGGUGGCGGAGGUGGCUCCGGUGGUGAUCAGGACCCCAACCAGCGCCCCCGCAAGAAGCGCUACCACCGCCACACCCAGCACCAGAUCCAGGAGCUCGAGGCCUUCUUCAAGGAGUGCCCCCACCCUGAUGACAAGCAGCGCAAGGAGCUCAGCCGCGAGCUCGGCCUCGAGCCCCUCCAGGUCAAGUUCUGGUUCCAGAACAAGCGCACCCAGAUGAAGGUAAUAUACUAAUCCGUGCAUCCAUCGUAUAUCUUACACGUCAUGUGAACGUGCAUCGGUUCAUAAUGUUGUGUUUAUAAAUGUUAAUGGUAUGUGUGGUUGCACGGGUUUGUAUGUUGCAGACGCAGCAUGAGAGACACGAGAACAAUGCGCUGCGCGCAGAGAACGAGAAGCUGCGGGCAGAGAACAUGAGGUACAAGGAGGCGCUUGCCAACGCGUCCUGCCCCAACUGCGGCGGUCCGGCCGCCAUCGGCGAGAUGUCCUUCGACGAGCACCACCUCCGCCUCGAGAACGCGCGCCUCCGCGACGAGAUUGACAGGAUCUCCGCCAUCGCCGCCAAGUACGUCGGCAAGCCCGCCGCGGCCGUCUCGGCCGCGUACCCGCCGCUGCCGCCGUCGAACAGGUCGCCGCUCGAUCAUAUG
rnacentral:precursor_RNA from 1 species